rnacentral:rRNA from 1 species
AACGUAGGGGGCCAGCGUUGCUCGGAAUUACUGGGCGUAAAGGGUCCGUAGGCGGUGUGGCAAGUCGGAAGUGAAAUCUCUGGGCUUAACCCAGAGGCUGCUUCCGAAACUGCUGUGCUAGAGUGUGAGAGAGGCGAGUGGAAUUGCGGGUGUAGCGGUGAAAUGCGUAGAUAUCCGCAGGAACAUCCGAGGCGAAAGCGGCUCGCUGGAUCACAACUGACGCUGAGGGACGAAAGCGUGGGGAGCAAACAGG